rnacentral:rRNA from 1 species
CUGUGCACAUAUUGUAGGCCUGGAAUUCUUAUGAUUAUUUUGUAUAGAUUGAGGACUGCUGUGCUUUAGCCAGCUUUUCCUUGCAUUUCCAGGUCUAUGUUUACCUUCACAACCUCUGAAUAUGUUUAGAAUGUUGGAAUAUAAUAUAUAUAUACAACUUUCAGCAACGGAUCUCUUGGCUCUCGCAUCGAUGAAGAACGCAGCGAAAUGCGAUAAGUAAUGUGAAUUGCAGAAUUCAGUGAAUCAUCGAAUCUUUGAACGCAUCUUGCGCUCCUUGGUAUUCUGAGGAGCAUGCCUGUUUGAGUGUCAUCAAUCUCUCAACUACAUCAAUCUUUCUGGUUUGGUGUAGCCUUUGGAUGUGGGGGUUUUAUUUUGCUGGCCUCUAUUAAAUGAGGUCAGCUCCCCUGAAAUUUAUUAGCGGUAUCUGAGCAGAGACCUACUACAGGUGUGAUAAAUUAUCUAUGCCUUGGUAAUGCUGCAUCAACAGAU